rnacentral:tRNA from 1 species
GGGAUCGUGGUGCAGCGGUCAGCACACCUGCUUGUCAGGCAGGAGACGCGGGUUCAACUCCCGCCGGUCCCG